rnacentral:rRNA from 1 species
UGGGGGUUGACGGUAGGUGGGGAAUAAGGACCGGCUAACUACGUGCCAGCAGCCGCGGUAAUACGUAGGGUCCGAGCGUUGUCCGGAAUUAUUGGGCGUAAAGAGCUCGUAGGCGGCGUGUCGCGUCUGCUGUGAAAGACCGGGGCUUAACUCCGGUUCUGCAGUGGAUACGGGCAUGCUAGAGGUAGGUAGGGGAGACUGGAAUUCCUGGUGUAGCGGUGAAAUGCGCAGAUAUCAGGAGGAACACCGGUGGCGAAGGCGGGUCUCUGGGCCUUACCUGACGCUGAGGAGCGAAAGCAUGGGGAGCGAACAGGAUUAGAUACCCUGGUAGUCCAUGCCGUAAACGUUGGGCGCUAGGUGUGGGGACUUUCCACGGUUUCCGCGCCGUAGCUAACGCAUUAAGCGCCCCGCCUGGGGAGUACGGCCGCAAGGCUAAAACUCAAAGGAAUUGACGGGGGCCCGCACAAGCGGCGGAGCAUGUUGCUUAAUUCGACGCAACGCGAAGAACCUUACCAAGGUUUGACAUCACCCGUGGACUCGCAGAGAUGUGAGGUCAUUUAGUUGGCGGGUGACAGGUGGUGCAUGGCUGUCGUCAGCUCGUGUCGUGAGAUGUUGGGUUAAGUCCCGCAACGAGCGCAACCCUUGUUCCAUGUUGCCAGCACGUAAUGGUGGGGACUCAUGGGAGACUGCCGGGGUCAACUCGGAGGAAGGUGGGGAUGACGUCAAGUCAUCAUGCCCCUUAUGUCUUGGGCUGCAAACAUGCUACAAUGGCCGGUACAAUGGGCGUGCGAUACCGUAAGGUGGAGCGAAUCCCUAAAAGCCGGUCUCAGUUCGGAUUGGGGUCUGCAACUCGACCCCAUGAAGGUGGAGUCGCUAGUAAUCGCGGAUCAGCAACGCCGCGGUGAAUACGUUCCCGGGCCUUGUACACACCGCCCGUCACGUCAUGAAAGUCGGCAACACCCGAAACUUGCGGCCUAACCC